GAUUGAACGCUGGCGGUAUGCUUAACACAUGCAAGUCGAACGGAAACGAUACUAGCUUGCUAGUAGGCGUCGAGUGGCGGACGGGUGAGUAACGCGUAGGAAUCUGCCUGAUAGUGGGGGAUAGCCCGAAGAAAUUCGGAUUAAUACCGCAUAAUCUAUUCGUAGUAAAGUGGGGGACUUUCGAGCCUCACGCUAUCAGAUGAGCCUGCGUAAGAUUAGCUAGUUGGUAGGGUAAAAGCCUACCAAGGCGACGAUCUUUAGCUGGUCUGAGAGGAUGAUCAGCCACAUCGGGACUGAGACACGGCCCGAACUCCUACGGGAGGCAGCAGUGGGGAAUAUUGGACAAUGGGGGCAACCCUGAUCCAGCAAUACCGCGUGUGUGAAGAAGGCCUGAGGGUUGUAAAGCACUUUCAAUUGUGAAGAAAAGUUAGCGGUUAAUAACCGUUAGCCUUGACGUUAACUUUAGAAGAAGCACCGGCUAACUCCGUGCCAGCAGCCGCGGUAAUACGGAGGGUGCAAGCGUUAAUCGGAAUUACUGGGCGUAAAGCGUGCGUAGGCGGUUUAUUAAGUCAGAUGUGAAAGCCCCGGGCUUAACCUGGGAACUGCAUUUGAAACUGGUCAACUAGAGUAUGGUAGAGGAAAGUGGAAUUUCUGGUGUAGCGGUGAAAUGCGUAGAUAUCAGAAGGAACAUCAAUGGCGAAGGCAGCUUUCUGGACCCAAUACUGACGCUGAGGUACGAAAGCGUGGGUAGCAAACAGGAUUAGAUACCCUGGUAGUCCACGCCGUAAACGAUGAUAACUAGCCGUUGGGGGGAUUUACCCUUUAGUGGCGAAGCUAACGCGUUAAGUUAUCCGCCUGGGGAGUACGGCCGCAAGGUUAAAACUCAAAGGAAUUGACGGGGACCCGCACAAGCGGUGGAGCAUGUGGUUUAAUUCGAUGCAACGCGAAGAACCUUACCUGGUCUUGACAUCCUGCGAACUUUCUAGAAAUAGAUUGGUGCCUUCGGGAACGCAGUGACAGGUGCUGCAUGGCUGUCGUCAGCUCGUGUCGUGAGAUGUUGGGUUAAGUCCCGUAACGAGCGCAACCCCUAUCCUUAUUUGCCAGCACAUCAUGGUGGGAACUAUAAGGAGACUGCCGGUGAUAAACCGGAGGAAGGCGGGGACGACGUCAAGUCAUCAUGGCCCUUACGACCAGGGCUACACACGUGCUACAAUGGGAAGGACAAAGAGCCGCGAAGCCGCGAGGUGUAGCUAAUCUCAUAAACCUUUUCGUAGUCCGGAUUGGAGUCUGCAACUCGACUCCAUGAAGUCGGAAUCGCUAGUAAUCGUAGAUCAGAAUGCUACGGUGAAUACGUUCCCGGGUCUUGUACACACCGCC
rnacentral:rRNA from 1 species